rfam:Oryza barthii chromosome 5, whole genome shotgun sequence.
UUUAAGUACAAUUGUGGCUUUCAAUGGCAAUGUUUGAUUGUCCAUCUAUUUAAAAUUUUUUUAUGAUCAGUAUUUUUAUUAUUAUUAGAUGACAAGAUAUGAAUAAUAAUUUAUGUGUGAUUUAUAUUUUUAAUAUUUCUUAUAAUUUUUUUAAAUAAGAUGGACAGUUAAAUGUUAGACACGGAUGCACUUAAA